AGAGUUUGAUCCUGGCUCAGAAUCAACGCUGGCGGCGUGCCUAACACAUGCAAGUCGAACGCGAAAGGGGAGCAAUCCCUGAGUAGAGUGGCAAACGGGUGAGUAACACGUGGGUGACCUGCCUUCGAGUGGGGGAUAACGUCCCGAAAGGGACGCUAAUACCGCAUGACAUCCUGCUCUUGGACGAGCGGAAAUCAAAGCUGGGGAUCGCAAGACCUGGCGCUUGAAGAGGGGCCCGCGCCUGAUUAGCUAGUUGGUGAGGUAAUGGCUCACCAAGGCAACGAUCAGUAUCCGGCCUGAGAGGGCGGACGGACACACUGGGACUGAGACACGGCCCAGACUCCUACGGGAGGCAGCAGUGGGGAAUUGUUCGCAAUGGGCGCAAGCCUGACGACGCAACGCCGCGUGGAGGACGAAGAUCUUCGGGUCGUAAACUCCUGUCGAGCGGGACGAACACCCAUCCGGUGAACAUCCGGGAGGGCUGACGGUACCGCUAAAGGAAGCCCCGGCUAACUCCGUGCCAGCAGCCGCGGUAAUACGGGGGGGGCAAGCGUUGUUCGGAAUUACUGGGCGUAAAGGGCUCGUAGGCGGCCAACUAAGUCACACGUGAAAUCCCCAGGCUCAACCUGGGAACUGCGUGUGAUACUGGAUGGCUUGAAUUCGGGAGAGGGAUGCAGAAUUCCAGGUGUAGCGGUGAAAUGCGUAGAUAUCUGGAGGAAUACCGGUGGCGAAGGCGGCAUCCUGGACCGACAUUGACGCUGAUGAGCGAAAGCUAGGGGAGCAAACGGGAUUAGAUACCCCGGUAGUCCUAGCCCUAAACGAUGAAUGCUUGGUGUGACGGGUAUCGAUCCCUGUCGUGCCGAAGCUAACGCAUUANCAUUCCGCCU
rnacentral:rRNA from 1 species